UUUAUUAAAUACUAAAUCACACACGUAUCGACACAUUCUUCGGGGUGCCUGUAUAGGUCGAAGAUAUGGGAUGCGUGGAGGUCUAAC
rnacentral:sRNA from 15 species